UGAUCGAGAUCCUGAGCCAGGAGUUCGACCUGCGUGACGACCAGUCUUACGAUUCCAGCUACCAGACUGCGAAUGGCAUUUACGCCUCCGAGUCUGGCCAGGCUGUGGCCGGAUACGGAGGUGAGCAGAGCUACGCCGUUCAGGGCCAGUACAGCUACACCGGCGACGACGGUGUCAGCUACACCGUGACGUAUGUGGCCGACGCCAACGGCUUCCAGCCGCAGGGUGACCACCUGCCGACCCCCGUGCCCACCGAGUACCCGACCCCGGAGGUGCCGGUGACCCAGGCCAGCUACCAGGCUGCUCCUGCUCCCAGCUACCAGGCUGCUCCUGCUCCCAGCUAUCAGGCUGCCCCCGCCCCCAGCUACCAGGCUGCCCCUGCCCCCAGCUACCAGGCUGCCCCUGCCCAGAGCUAUCAGCCCGCCCCCGCACCCCAGUACCAGCCCACAUACCAGUAAUUGUGAGUCAAAUCCUUUCUGUCCAUCGUUGCGAUGCGACCAGUAUAUACCGACUACGCUUAUACGUUUGUCUAUUUAUUGUGAUGUUUGCAAGGAGUAUUUUGUUUGAUUGCGUCGUGUGACUGUUUCCAAUAUAUGUGCAUUUCCCAAGAAC